rnacentral:snRNA from 1 species
GUGCUCGCUUUGGCAGCACAUAUACUAAAAUUGGAACGAUAUAGAGAAAAUUAGCAUGGCCCUUGUGCAAGGAUGACAUGCAAAUUCGUGAAGUGUGCCAUAUUUUU